UGGUGGUUUUCUGACUCUGCACCAAGAACCGCCACACCAAGGCAGCAGCAAAACCACCUUGCCGACCACAAGAGUUGCGCUGGCGACUCAUGGGGCUCCUCCGCUGGGAAUCUCCUGGUGCGUGAGCAACAAAAAUUCAUCUGAAAGUGUGAUGUCCUCUCGUUCUCUGCGCUUUCACUGGGAGCUACAAUCCUGAGCUGCUAGUGAUAAGCCAUUUUGGAUCUCUCUCCAACCCCAAGUUCUUUUACUUGUAUUUAUUA